UCAACUGGCUAGCAAUGCUGUUUGCUGUUCUUGAUGCACCCCAGAAUAUGGUUGGCCCUUUUGGUUGACAGGACACAUUGAUGACUCAUAAUCAACUUUCCAUUGACUAACUCCUACCCACCCCACCCCACCAGCCUGGACCCUUUCAAUGAGCGGCUCUCCAGCCUCUUGUCCCCCAGCGAGAUACCUAUGUGUGCAUGUUUAAAUCCAAUGAAGGAGAAGCAGAGGAAGAAAUUUGUUUGUAAAUCUCAUUAAUUCAGUGAUUGGCACAAAGACACUUUUAUACACAUGCUGAAGCAAAACAUUGUGCUCUUACAUAAGGCCAGAAUGGGUGAGAUGAUAUUUGGUACGCAGAAUGUUAAGUUCAUUUUGGUAAGGAAGCCCCGACCUGGACCUGAAAUCCCAGAUGAGUUUCACCAGGACUGAGCAGAGAGGAAGAACCACAUCCCUUGACCACCUGUCAGCGCUCUGCCUAAUGCAGUCAUUGAUCUUCUUUGCCAAUGCACAUCCUCAGCUUAGUGCUUGCCAGGAUCCCCCAGACCUGUCCUGCCAAGUUGCUUUCCAGCUGGUCAUUCCCCUGUGUGGGUUUAUUCCUCCCCAGGGGCACUACUUGGCAUUUUCCUUUCAAUAAAACAUAUUGCUGCUUCUCUCUUACGAGUGAAAUGCACUAUUCCUUCUGUGACACUGGUCUAUCAACCAUUCCUUCCCAAUUUGCAUCUUCUGUCCCAUUAUCCAAGACUUUAAUGAAGAUGUUAAACAGCAUGAGCCUCUGGGGUUCUGCACUAGAGACAGGUCUCCAGCUGGACCUUGUACCACUCAUCACAGUCCUGUGAGCAUGGCACUUCUGUCAAUUUCAGUCCACCCGCCUGUCUGUUUAUCUAUCCCUUAUUUCAUUACUUUGCCUAUCAGAAUGUUACUGGAGCAGUGUCAAAAAUCUUACUAAAAUCAAUGUAAACAGCAUCUGCUGCUCUCCCCUCAUCCACCAAAUCAGUCAUCUUAUUGUAGACAGCUGUCAGGUUGGUUAGUUCUUGACAGUGUUUAACUAGUAUAUAUACUAUCCAGUAUAUAUGCUAAUUCAGCUCAUGGAAAGUAGUAAUAAAA